rnacentral:rRNA from 1 species
UCCGUAGGUGAACCUGCGGAAGGAUCAUUACCGAGUGUAGGGUUCCUAGCGAGCCCAACCUCCCACCCGUGUUUACUGUACCUUAGUUGCUUCGGCGGGCCCGCCAUUCAUGGCCGCCGGGGGCUCUCAGCCCCGGGCCCGCGCCCGCCGGAGACACCACGAACUCUGUCUGAUCUAGUGAAGUCUGAGUUGAUUGUAUCGCAAUCAGUUAAAACUUUCAACAAUGGAUCUCUUGGUUCCGGCAUCGAUGAAGAACGCAGCGAAAUGCGAUAACUAGUGUGAAUUGCAGAAUUCCGUGAAUCAUCGAGUCUUUGAACGCACAUUGCGCCCCCUGGUAUUCCGGGGGGCAUGCCUGUCCGAGCGUCAUUGCUGCCCAUCAAGCACGGCUUGUGUGUUGGGUCGUCGUCCCCUCUCCGGGGGGGACGGGCCCCAAAGGCAGCGGCGGCACCGCGUCCGAUCCUCGAGCGUAUGGGGCUUUGUCACCCGCUCUGUAGGCCCGGCCGGCGCUUGCCGAACGCAAAUCAAUCUUUCCAGGUGACCUCGGA